AUCUCGAUGGCUCGGCCGGGGAGAGCGGCGACCGUUCGACGGACGAGUUCGGCGACGUUCGGACCCUCGUUGAAGGUC
rnacentral:tRNA from 1 species